AUGUUUGAGAACAAGAACGAACACGCAAACGCUCCUAUAAUUGUUCAGUCGAGAAGCAUCGACAGGUUAAAACAUCAACCUUUCGACUUACCAGAUAGGAUAUAGUUUCUCAUUCAGACACCACGACUCAUCCGAAUAAGACUUUUACGGACGAACGACCACACAGGCAAAUCACUGUAUGAUGGCCGCAUCAGUAGACCCCGGGGACCAGACGGAUCAAUCACUGUAUGAUGGCCGCAUCAGUAGACCCCGGGGACCAGACGGGCCGAUCACUGCAUGAUGGCCGCAUCAGUAGACCCCGGGGACCAGACGGGCAAAUAACUGUAUGAUGGCCGCAUCAGUAGACCCCGGGGACCAGACGGACCAAUUACUGUAUGAUGGCCGCAUCAGUAGACCCCGGGGACCAGACGGACCAAUCACGGUAUAAUGGCCGCAUCAGUAGACCCCGGGGACCAGACGGGCGUAUCACUGUAUGAUGGCCGCAUCAGUAUACCCCGGGGACCAGACGGACCAAUCACUGUAUGAUGGCCGCAUCAGUAGACCCCGGGGGCCAGACGGACCAAUCACUGUUAGAUGGCCUUAUCAGUAGACCCCAGGGGCCAGACGGACCAAUCACUGUAUGAUGGCCGCAUCAGAAGACCCCGGUGACCAGACGGGCCAAUCACUGUAUGAUGGUCGCAUCAGUAGACCCCGGGGACCAGACGGACAAAUCACUGUAUGAUGGCCGCAUCAGUAGACCCCGGGGACCAGACGGGCCAAUCACUGUAUGAUUGCCGCAUCAGUAGAUCCCGGGGACCAGACGGGCCUAUCACUGUACGAUGGCUGCAUCAGUAGACCCCGGGGGCCAAACGGACCAAUCACUGUAUGAUGGCCGCAUCAGUAGAUCCCGGGGACCAGACGGACCAAUCACUGUAUGAUGGCCGCAUCAGUAGACCCCGGGGACCAGGCGGGCCAAUCACUGUAUGAUGGCUGCAUCAGUAGAUCCCGGGGACCAGACGGACCAAUCACUGUAUGAUGGCCGCAUCAGUAGACCCCGGGGGCCAGACGGACCAAUCACUGUAUGAUGGCCGCAUCAGUAGACCCCGGGGACCAGACGGACCAAUCACUGUAUGAUGGCCGCAUCAGUAGACCCCGGAGACCAGACGGGCCAAUCACUGUAUGAUGGCUGCUUCAGUAGACCCCGGGGACCAGACGGACCAAUCACUGUAUGAUGGCCGCAUCAGUAGACCCCGCGGACCAAUCACUGUAUGAUGGUCGCAUCAGUAGACCCCGGGGACCAGACGGGCCUAUCACUGUACGAUGGUCGCAUCAGUAGACCCCGGGGACCAGACGGGCCUAUCACUGUACGAUGGCUGCAUCAGUAGACCCUGGUGACCAGACGGGCCUAUCGCUGUAUGAUGGCCGCAUCAGAAGAUCCCGGAGACCAGACGGGCCAACUACUGUAUGAUGGCCGCAUCAGUAGACCCCGGGGACCAGACGGACCAAUCACUGUAUGAUGGCCGCAUCAGUAGACCCCUGGGACCAGACGGGCCUAUCACUGUAUGAUGGUCGCAUCAGUAGAUUCCGGGGACCAGACGGGCCUAUCACUGUAAGAUGGCCGCAUCAGUAGACCCCCGGGGACCAGACGGGCCUAUCACUGUAUGAUGGCCGCAUCAGAAGAUUCCGGAGACCAGACGGGCCAAUCACUGUAUGAUGGCCGCAUCAGUAGACCCCGGGGACCAGACGGACCAAUCAUUGUAUGAUGGCCGCAUCAGUAGACCCCUGGGACCAGACGGGCCUUUCACUGUAUGAUGGUCGCAUCAGUAGAUCCCGGGGACCAGACGGGCCUAUCACUGUAUGAUGGCCGCAUCAGUAGACCCCCGAGGACAAGACGGGCCAAUCACAAUAUGAUGGCCGCAUCAGUAGAUCCCGAGGUCAUAAAAAGUGCUUGCACAUGUUCUUGCAAACUCGACAUAUGCCUUCAGAUUUCGGCAUAUUGCCGUUAUGUAUUUUCGAACUAAUCUGUUUUUUUUCUGUGAUAUGUACGUAAAGAAACACAACCUCUCAUUCUCCAAAACUUCAGGCUUAAUCUUCUAGUCUUACGCCAGAUCACAAAAGACUUUAUACACGAUUUGAAUAUCUGACAGAGACAAAUUGUACAAAUAUAUACAACUUAUUUAAAUGUUCCUUAUUUAAAACAAUAUGUUCAUAGUUUUAUUUUCUAAGUUGGCAAGCAGUCACUCUGUGCAUAACGUCAAUAAUAAACUUUGAGAGCUCAAGCUGUUACAAAUUUGCCUAAAUCUCAAAAAGAAAGUCUGCGUGUUUGGAAAUCUAUCCGUGUGGGGAGUUUUAUGAAAAGGGAAUUGUGAUUUAUUUUAUACUUGCAUAAAUCCACGUAUGCUCACAAAACAUAACCAUAACAUCAGAAACACUAUAUUAUUUAAUUGCUACAAGUUGCAAUUCUUUAUAAUUGUAUGGAUUUCUGACGAUGAUUUCUCAUUAACGAGAAUAUUUUUUCUGUAUUUGUGUUGCUCAUAUGUAUUAUAUCGCUCCCUGGUAUAAAGUGCUGAUUUAGUUAUUGCAUGCGUGAAAAUAAGAUGGACACAUGCUAAUUCGAACAACAAUUUAUUAUGAAAAGUUCUGCAUACAUGCGCAAAAUAUUCAAAUUUGCUGUUGCAACCAUCACCACAAAAACGCAACAGAAGACUUCGUUUUAAGAAGACAAUACACAAAUGACUCGCGUGAUAAACGCACCAAAGCGUUUUUCCACCAUGUUAAUAUGUCGACAUGGCAACACAUUGGUCGCCAUGUUAAUUCCUCACAAUUAUCAAGGCACGAGGAACGGCGCCUGUCUUAU